UACGGAGGGUGCUAGCGUUGUUCGGAAUCACUGGGCGUAAAGCGCGUGUAGGCGGCCCACUAAGUCUGAUGUGAAAGCCCGGGGCUCACCCCCGGAAGUGCAUUGGAAACUGGUGGACUCGAGUCCCGGAGAGGAGAGUGGAAUUCCUGGUGUAGCGGUGAAAUGCGUAGAUAUCAGGAGGAACACCGGUGGCGAAGGCGGCUCUCUGGACGGUGACUGACGCUGAGACGCGAAAGCGUGGGGAGCGAACAGG
rnacentral:rRNA from 1 species